rnacentral:rRNA from 1 species
UGAAUACGAGACGCUAAGGCGUCGAAGUAGUGUAUGUCAUACUUCCAAGAAAAGCUUGCACUGUCAUAGAUAAAAAACGCCUGUACCAUAACCGACACAGGUGGGUAGGUAGAGUAUACUAAGGGGCGCGAGAUAACUCUCUCUAAGGAACUCGGCAAAAUAACUCCGUAACUUCGGGAGAAGGAGUGCCUUAUUCGUAAGGUUGCAAUAACAAGAUCCAAGCAACUGUUUAUCAAAAACACAGGUCUCCGCUAAGUCGUAAGACGAUGUAUGGGGGCUGACGCCUGCCCAGUGCCAGAAGGUUAAAGAAGUUGGUUAGCAAUUGCGAAGCUGAUAACUGAAGCCCUGGUGAACGGCGGCCGUAACGAUAACGGUCCUAAGGUAGCGAAAUUCCUUGUCGGGUAAGUUCCGACCCGCACGAAAGGCGUAAUGAUUUGGAUACUGUCUCGGAGAGGGGCUCGGUGAAAUAGACUUGUCUGUGAAGAUGCGGACUACCUGCACCAGGACAGAAAGACCCUAUGAAGCUUUACUGUAACUUGAAAUUGAAAUUGGACUUUAUUCGCGCAGUAUAGGUGGGAGGCGUUGAUUAUAAUCUUGUGGGAUUAUUGGAGCCAUCAGUGAGAUACCACUCUUGUAAUGUUAGAUUUCUAACUUUGAAUCAUUAUCUGGUCAAAGAACAGUUUCAGGCGGGCAGUUUGACUUGGGCGGUCGCCUCCUAAACGGUAACGGAGGCGUACAAAGGUUUCCUCUGAACGGUUAGAAAUCGUAUCUAGAGUGUAAAGGCAUAAGGAAGCUUGACUGUGAGACCUACAAGUCGAGCAGGGACGAAAGUCGGUCUUAGUGAUCUGACGGUACUGAGUGGAAAGGCCGUCACUCAACGGAUAAAAGUUACUCUAGGAUAACAGGCUGAUCUCCCCCAAGAGUUCACAUCGACGGGGAGGUUUGGCACCUCGAUGUCGGCUCAUCGCAUCCUGGGGCGGUAGUACGUCCCAAGGGUUGGGCUGUUCGCCCAUGAAAGCGGUACGCGAGCUGGGUUCAGAACGUCGUGAGACAGUUCGGUCCAUAUCCGGUGUAGGCGUUAGAAUAUUGAGAGGAGCCUUCUUUAGUACGAGAGGACCGAGAAGGACAUACCUCUGGUGUACCAGUUAUCGUGCCAACGGUAAACGCUGGGUAGCUAUGUAUGGAGUGGAUACCGCUGAAAGCAUCUAAGUGGGAAGCCCCCCUCAAGAUAAG